GGGUUGUGAGGUUAAGCGACUAAGCGUACACGGUGGAUGCCCUGGCAGUCAGAGGCGAUGAAGGGCGUGCUAAUCUGCGAUAAGCGCCGGUAAGGUGAUAUGAACCGUUAUAACCGGCGAUACCCGAAUGGGGAAACCCAGUGUGACUCGUCACACUAUCAUUAACUGAAUCCAUAGGUUAAUGAGGCGAACCGGGGGAACUGAAACAUCUAAGUACCCCGAGGAAAAGAAAUCAACCGAGAUUCCCCCAGUAGCGGCGAGCGAACGGGGAGGAGCCCAGAGCCUGAAUCAGCAUGUGUGUUAGUGGAAGCGUCUGGAAAGGCGCGCGAUACAGGGUGACAGCCCCGUACACAAAAGCGCAUGUGCUGUGAGCUCGAUGAGUAGGGCGGGACACGUGGUAUCCUGUCUGAAUAUGGGGGGACCAUCCUCCAAGGCUAAAUACUCCUGACUGACCGAUAGUGAACCAGUACCGUGAGGGAAAGGCGAAAAGAACCCCGGCGAGGGGAGUGAAAAAGAACCUGAAACCGUGUACGUACAAGCAGUGGGAGCACNNNNNNNNNNNNNNNNCUGCGUACCUUUUGUAUAAUGGGUCAGCGACUUAUAUUCUGUAGCAAGGUUAACCGAAUAGGGGAGCCGGAGGGAAACCGAGUCUUAAUUGGGCGUUAAGUUGCAGGGUAUAGACCCGAAACCCGGUGAUCUAGCCAUGGGCAGGUUGAAGGUUGGGUAACACUAACUGGAGGACCGAACCGACUAAUGUUGAAAAAUUAGCGGAUGACCUGUGGCUGGGGGUGAAAGGCCAAUCAAACCGGGAGAUAGCUGGUUCUCCCCGAAAGCUAUUUAGGUAGCGCCUCGUGAAUUCAUCUCCGGGGGUAGAGCACUGUUUCGGCUAGGGGGCCAUCCCGGCUUACCAACCCGAUGCAAACUGCGAAUACCGGAGAAUGUUAUCACGGGAGACACACGGCGGGUGCUAACGUCCGUCGUGAAGAGGGAAACAACCCAGACCGCCAGCUAAGGUCCCAAAGUCAUGGUUAAGUGGGAAACGAUGUGGGAAGGCCCAGACAGCCAGGAUGUUGGCUUAGAAGCAGCCAUCAUUUAAAGAAAGCGUAAUAGCUCACUGGUCGAGUCGGCCUGCGCGGAAGAUGUAACGGGGCUAAACCAUGCACCGAAGCUGCGGCAGCGACACUGUGUGUUGUUGGGUAGGGGAGCGUUCUGUAAGCCUGCGAAGGUGGCCUGUGAGGGUUGCUGGAGGUAUCAGAAGUGCGAAUGCUGACAUAAGUAACGAUAAAGCGGGUGAAAAGCCCGCUCGCCGGAAGACCAAGGGUUCCUGUCCAACGUUAAUCGGGGCAGGGUGAGUCGACCCCUAAGGCGAGGCCGAAAGGCGUAGUCGAUGGGAAACGGGUUAAUAUUCCCGUACUUGGUGUUACUGCGAAGGGGGGACGGAGAAGGCUAUGUUGGCCGGGCGACGGUUGUCCCGGUUUAAGCGUGUAGGUGUGUGUUCCAGGUAAAUCCGGUUCACUUUAACACUGAGGCGUGACGACGAGGCACUACGGUGCUGAAGCAACAAAUGCCCUGCUUCCAGGAAAAGCCUCUAAGCAUCAGGUAACAUCAAAUCGUACCCCAAACCGACACAGGUGGUCAGGUAGAGAAUACCAAGGCGCUUGAGAGAACUCGGGUGAAGGAACUAGGCAAAAUGGUGCCGUAACUUCGGGAGAAGGCACGCUGACACGUAGGUGAAGUGAUUUACUCAUGGAGCUGAAGUCAGUCGAAGAUACCAGCUGGCUGCAACUGUUUAUUAAAAACACAGCACUGUGCAAACACGAAAGUGGACGUAUACGGUGUGACGCCUGCCCGGUGCCGGAAGGUUAAUUGAUGGGGUCAGCGCAAGCGAAGCUCCUGAUCGAAGCCCCGGUAAACGGCGGCCGUAACUAUAACGGUCCUAAGGUAGCGAAAUUCCUUGUCGGGUAAGUUCCGACCUGCACGAAUGGCGUAAUGAUGGCCAGGCUGUCUCCACCCGAGACUCAGUGAAAUUGAACUCGCUGUGAAGAUGCAGUGUACCCGCGGCAAGACGGAAAGACCCCGUGAACCUUUACUAUAGCUUGACACUGAACAUUGAGCCUUGAUGUGUAGGAUAGGUGGGAGGCUUUGAAGUGUGGACGCCAGUCUGCAUGGAGCCGACCUUGAAAUACCACCCUUUAAUGUUUGAUGUUCUAACGUGGACCCGUUACCCGGGUUGCGGACAGUGUCUGGUGGGUAGUUUGACUGGGGCGGUCUCCUCCUAAAGAGUAACGGAGGAGCACGAAGGUUGGCUAAUCCUGGUCGGACAUCAGGAGGUUAGUGCAAUGGCAUAAGCCAGCUUGACUGCGAGCGUGACGGCGCGAGCAGGUGCGAAAGCAGGUCAUAGUGAUCCGGUGGUUCUGAAUGGAAGGGCCAUCGCUCAACGGAUAAAAGGUACUCCGGGGAUAACAGGCUGAUACCGCCCAAGAGUUCAUAUCGACGGCGGUGUUUGGCACCUCGAUGUCGGCUCAUCACAUCCUGGGGCUGAAGUAGGUCCCAAGGGUAUGGCUGUUCGCCAUUUAAAGUGGUACGCGAGCUGGGUUUAGAACGUCGUGAGACAGUUCGGUCCCUAUCUGCCGUGGGCGCUGGAGAACUGAGGGGGGCUGCUCCUAGUACGAGAGGACCGGAGUGGACGCAUCACUGGUGUUCGGGUUGUCAUGCCAAUGGCACUGCCCGGUAGCUAAAUGCGGAAGAGAUAAGUGCUGAAAGCAUCUAAGCACGAAACUUGCCCCGAGAUGAGUUCUCCCUGAGACUUAAAGUCUCCUGAAGGAACGUUGAAGACGACGACGUUGAUAGGCCGGGUGUGUAAGCGCAGCGAUGCGUUGAGCUAACCGGUACUAAUGAACCGUGAGGCUUAACCUUACAACGCCGAAG
rnacentral:rRNA from 1 species